rnacentral:rRNA from 1 species
CCCUUAGAUGCUCUGGGCCGCACGCGCGCUACACUGGUCGAUGCAACGAGUUUCUUUCCUUGGCCGACAGGCCCGGGCAAUCUUUGAACGCUGGUCGUGAUGGGGAUAGACUUUUGCAAUUUUUGGUCUUCAACGAGGAAUUCCUAGUAAACGCAAGUCAUCGACUUGCAUUGAUUACGUCCCUGCCCUUUGUACACACCGCCCGUCGCACCUACCGAUUGAAUGGUCCGGUGAUGCCUCCGGAUUGGCGCGCACCUCGGUGCCGCCGAGAAGUUGGCUAAACCUUACCAUUUAGAGGAAGGUGAAGUCGUAACA